UUAACCAUAGCAGACCACAGGUAUUGCCCUAGUAACGGCGAGUGAAGCGGCAACAGCUCAAAUUUGAAAUCUGGCGCAAGCCCGAGUUGUAAUUUGUAGAGGAUGCUUCUGGGUAGCGACCGAUCUAAGUUCCUUGGAACAGGACGUCAUAGAGGGUGAGAAUCCCGUAUGUGACCGGCCCGCACCCUUUACGUAGCUCCUUCGACGAGUCGAGUUGUUUGGGAAUGCAGCUCUAAAUGGGAGGUAAAUUUCUUCUAAAGCUAAAUACCGGCCAGAGACCGAUAGCGCACAAGUAGAGUGAUCGAAAGAUGAAAAGUACUUUGGAAAGAGAGUUAAAAAGCACGUGAAAUUGUUGAAAGGGAAGCGCCUGCAACCAGACUUCGCGGCAGUGUUCCGCCGGUCUUCUGACCGGUUCAUUCUCUGUCGCGAGGCCAUCAUCGUCUGGGCCCGCCGGAUAAGACCUGAGGAAUGUGGCUCCCCCUCGGGGGAGUGUUAUAGCCUCUGGUGAUGCGGCGUGGCUCGGGCGAGGUCCGCGCUUCGGCAAGGAUGAUGGCGUAAUGGUUGUCGGCGGCCCGUCUUGAAACACGGACCAAGGAGUCUAACAUCUAUGCGAGUGUUCGGGUGUCAAACCCCUACGCGUAAUGAAAGUGAACGGAGGUGGGAACCGCAAGGUGCACCAUCGACCGAUCCUGAUGUCCUCGGAUGGAUUUGAGUAAGAGCAUAGCUGUUGGGACCCGAAAGAUGGUGAACUAUGCCUGAAUAGGGUGAAGCCAGAGGAAACUCUGGUGGAGGCUCGCAGCGGUUCUGACGUGCAAAUCGAUCGUCAAAUUUGGGUAUAGGGGCGAAAGACUAAUCGAACCAUCUAGUAGCUGGUUCCUGCCGAAGUUUCCCUCAGAUAGCAGUAACGUUUUCAGUUUUAUGAGGUAAGCGAAUGAUUAGAGGCCUUGGGGUUGAAACACUUACCUAUCUCAACUUAAUAUGUAGAGUCUGUACUAGUGACGUGACAUUGAUGUACGUACUAGUGGGCAUUUGUACAAAAAACAAUGGCCGAAGGA
rnacentral:rRNA from 1 species